rnacentral:rRNA from 1 species
GGGUGACAGGUGGUGCAUGGUUGUCGUCAGCUCGUGUCGUGAGAUGUUGGUUAAGUCCCGCAACGAGCGCAACCCUCGACCUUAGUUGCCAGCAUUCAGUUGGGCACUCUAAGGUGACUGCCGGCUAAAAGUCGGAGGAAGGUGGGAUGACGUCAAAUCAUCAUGCCCCUUAUGACCUGGGCUACACACGUGCUACAAUGGGCGGUACAAAGGGUCGCGAGCCCGCGAGGGGAGCCAAUCCCAAAAAGCCGCUCUCAGUUCGGAUUGCAGGCUGCAACUUGCCUGCAUGAAGCCGGAAUCGCUAGUAAUCGCGGAUCAGCAUGCCGCGGUGAAUACGUUCCCGGGCCUU